GAUGAACGCUGGCGGCGGGCCUAAUACAUGCAAGUCGAGCGAACACACGGGGAGCGCUCUCCUCUGCCGUUAGCGGCGGGCGGGUGAGUAACACGUAGAUAACCUACCUCUAAGACUGGGAUGAUUUCGGGAGACCGGAUCCAAUACCCGAGCAUAUGUUGAACGGCAUGGAUCAAUGGAUAUAGACGGCUUUGCUGUCACUAUGAGACGUUUCCGCGCCGGAUUAGCUAGUUGGUAAGGUAACGGCCUACCAAGGCUACGAUGCGUAGCCGAUCUGAGAGGAUGAUCAGCCACACUGGAACUGAGACACGGUCCAGACUCCUACGGGAGGCAGCAGUAGGGAAUAUUGGGCAAUGGGCGAAAGCCUGACGGAGCAACGCCGCGUGAGUGAAGAAGGUCUUCGGAUCGUAAAGCUCUGUUAUUAGGGAAGAACAGAAGUAUGUGUAUCCCUGGAUGUCUUGACGGUACCUAAAGAAAAAGCACCGGCUAACUACGUG
rnacentral:rRNA from 1 species